rnacentral:rRNA from 1 species
UGCAGUCGAACGAUGAUCCCAGCUUGCUGGGGGAUUAGUGGCGAACGGGUGAGUAACACGUGAGUAACCUGCCCUUAACUCUGGGAUAAGCCUGGGAAACUGGGUCUAAUACCGGAUAUGACUCCUCAUCGCAUGGUGGGGGGUGGAAAGCUUUAUUGUGGUUUUGGAUGGACUCGCGGCCUAUCAGCUUGUUGGUGAGGUAAUGGCUCACCAAGGCGACGACGGGUAGCCGGCCUGAGAGGGUGACCGGCCACACUGGGACUGAGACACGGCCCAGACUCCUACGGGAGGCAGCAGUGGGGAAUAUUGCACAAUGGGCGAAAGCCUGAUGCAGCGACGCCGCGUGAGGGAUGACGGCCUUCGGGUUGUAAACCUCUUUCAGUAGGGAAGAAGCGAAAGUGACGGUACCUGCAGAAGAAGCGCCGGCUAACUACGUGCCAGCAGCCGCGGUAAUACGUAGGGCGCAAGCGUUAUCCGGAAUUAUUGGGCGUAAAGAGCUCGUAGGCGGUUUGUCGCGUCUGCCGUGAAAGUCCGGGGCUCAACUCCGGAUCUGCGGUGGGUACGGGCAGACUAGAGUGAUGUAGGGGAGACUGGAAUUCCUGGUGUAGCGGUGAAAUGCGCAGAUAUCAGGAGGAACACCGAUGGCGAAGGCAGGUCUCUGGGCAUUAACUGACGCUGAGGAGCGAAAGCAUGGGGAGCGAACAGGAUUAGAUACCCCUGGUAGUCCAUGCCCGUAAACGUUGGGCACUAGGUGUGGGGGACAUUCCACGUUUUCCGCGCCGUAGCUAACGCAUUAAGUGCCCCGCCUGGGGGAGUACGGGCCCCAAGGGCUAAAACUCAAAAGGAAAUUGACGGGGGGGCCCGCACCAAAGCGGGCGGGAGCA